rnacentral:rRNA from 1 species
GAGUUUGAUCCUGGCUCAGGACGAACGCUGGCGGCGUGCUUAACACAUGCAAGUCGAGCGAGAAACCUUCGGGUUUCUAGCGGCGGACGGGUGAGUAACACGUGGGUAACCUACCUCAAAGAGGGGAAUAGCCUCCCGAAAGGGAGAUUAAUACCGCAUAAUAUCAUAGCUUCGCAUGAAGCAAUGAUUAAAGGAGUAAUCCGCUUUGAGAUGGACCCGCGGCGCAUUAGCUAGUUGGAGAGGUAACGGCUCACCAAGGCGACGAUGCGUAGCCGACCUGAGAGGGUGAUCGGCCACAUUGGAACUGAGACACGGUCCAGACUCCUACGGGAGGCAGCAGUGGGGAAUAUUGCACAAUGGGCGAAAGCCUGAUGCAGCAACGCCGCGUGAGUGAUGACGGUCUUCGGAUUGUAAAGCUCUGUCUUUUGGGACGAUAAUGACGGUACCAAAGGAGGAAGCCACGGCUAACUACGUGCCAGCAGCCGCGGUAAUACGUAGGUGGCAAGCGUUGUCCGGAUG